AAAUACUUUGCUUAAAAAAUUCUCUCAAUUUUAAUUAGUUUUUUUUUUGUAUAGAGAGCAUAUACACACUACAUAAUAUCCUUAAAUUAUAGUAAAAUUUUCAAAAUACAUAUAUUAUUCAUAAGUGGUGCGAGAUUUCAAAGAGCAUUGUCCGUAUACUUUUAAAAAUUAAUUAAUUUGUAAAGUGAUUGGCUAAUCAAUUAAUAGGUCCAAACCAUAUAAUCAGAUUGUUUCAGUAUAUAUAUAU
rnacentral:misc_RNA from 1 species